rnacentral:rRNA from 1 species
CAGCACCUCAAGUGGUCAGGAUGAUUAUUGGGCCUAAAGCAUCCGUAGCCGGCUUUGUUAGUUUUCGGUUAAAUCCAUGUGCUCAACGCAUGGGCUGCCGAAAAUACUGCAUGGCUAGGGAGUGGGAGAGGUAGACGGUACUCAGUAGGAAGGGGUAAAAUCCUUUGAUCUAUUGAUGACCACCUGUGGCGAAGGCGGUCUACCAGAACACGUUCGACGGUGAGGGAUGAAGCCUGGGGGAGCAAACCGGAUUAGAUACCCGGGUAGUCCUAGCUGUAAACGAUGCAGACU